CUUUUAUAUACUUUCCUCGUAAUGAACAUACCUUCACUUCCAUCUGUUAAAGUUUCCAAUUUAGCAGCAAGCGUUUCUAUUUGUUGAACCAUAUCAUUAGAAGAAUCUCUUAGUUUGCAUAUUAGUUCGUAUUCCUUUUGCUUUUCCUCAAUCCUUGCUUGAAGCAUGUUCACGCCAAAUGUUUGUAGAAGAAGGUACGAAAUUUACUAGAUUUAUCUCCUACACCAUAUAAGGCGAUUUCGGUUUUGUAAUUAUACGUUUAAAACAAAUAAUUUCCGUUUCUGGAAUUUUAUAUCUCGGAAUGUAUUACUAAUAAAGAGGUUGAUAAUAGAGACUAACAAAAAAUAUAAU